CGAACGCUGGCGGCGUGCUUAACACAUGCAAGUCGAACGGAAAGGCCCUGCUUUUGUGGGGUGCUCGAGUGGCGAACGGGUGAGUAACACGUGAGUAACCUGCCCUUGACUUUGGGAUAACUUCAGGAAACUGGGGCUAAUACCGGAUAGGAGCUCCUGCUGCAUGGUGGGGGUUGGAAAGUUUCGGCGGUUGGGGAUGGACUCGCGGCUUAUCAGCUUGUUGGUGGGGUAGUGGCUUACCAAGGCUUUGACGGGUAGCCGGCCUGAGAGGGUGACCGGCCACAUUGGGACUGGGGUACGGCCCAGACUCCUACGGGAGGAAGCAGUGGGGAAUAUUGCACAAUGGGCGGAAGCCUGAGGCAGCAACGCCGCGUGCGGGAUGACGGCCUUCGGGUUGUAAACCGCUUUCGCCUGUGACGAAGCGUGAGUGACGGUAAUGGGUAAAGAAGCACCGGCUAACUACGU
rnacentral:rRNA from 1 species